AAAGAGCCCCCAACUUGAGCCGUAAUAUGUUGUUUCAAAUGAGGCGACGUGAGGGUGGUUAAGAGGGAGAGGAAAAAGUAGAGGGGAGAUCAGAUUAUUUUCGCUUUAAAUAAUCACUUGGAUGGCAUAAAAUCUAGCGCUGUGCGCAUCACGCACCGGAUUGUCUCUUUUUUUUUUUUUGUUAUUAUUUUUGCUUUCCUCCAGCUUCAUGGAUUCCAAUCUUACAGAAAUGGAGUCAAAACUUUGGCCAGUUCUAAUUCUGCUCUGACACAAUCAUGCAAAGGAGAAGACGCACUGCAGAGAAGUCCUGCAUGCAGGAUGUCGAAUCAGAUAUCAACCUGAUCAAUGACGCUUCUGCUCCAAGAGAAACGACAAUACCUGGAGCCACGGUAAAAACCCUGCGUCACCCAAUCCUUCACUGACACCACGUCCAGCAUUUAAUCCAAGCACCCCCAUCAUCUUCCACCAAUAGCUACAGUUGAAGGCAGCAGAUCCUCCUGAUUCGCUGCUGAAGAAGACGGUCGCACCUUCCUGAGUCUGGUUCUGCUGGUUCCUUCCUGUCGAAAGAUAACUUUCCCUUUUCCACAGAUUAAAAUAAUUGACGAACUGUCGUGAUCAACCGAUCACAUUUGUUUUUAUAUUUAAAUAUUUAGAUUAAGGUGGAAUGCAUUUGUUUAGAUUUCAACUGAAAUCUGACAUCAGAAAAAAAUCGGAUUCAAUGCAUCGUAGUUCGGAUGGGUUCAGCUUUUCUGUAUUAAAAGCUCACUUGGAUAACUUUAUGUAGUUCAGGCCCUGUACUCAAUUUAUACACAUGUAUAAAAGUUGUUGAAAUACCUCAAAUCAGUACCUAAAGAUUUUUUUAUUUCUUAUUUGACUUUAAUACAUGUUACCUAAUUAUUUUCUAAUAAAACACAUUUUCUGUGUGGUUCA